GAUGAACGCUGGCGGCGUGCUUAACACAUGCAAGUCGAACGAUGAAGCUCAGCUUGCUGGGUGGAUUAGUGGCGAACGGGUGAGUAACACGUGAGUAACCUGCCCUUAACUCUGGGAUAAGCCUGGGAAACUAGGUCUAAUACCGGAUAUGAGCGCCUACCGCAUGGUGGGUGUUGGAAAGAUUUAUCGGUUUUGGAUGGACUCGCGGCCUAUCAGCUUGUUGGUGAGGUAAUGGCUCACCAAGGCGACGACGGGUAGCCGGCCUGAGAGGGUGACCGGCCACACUGGGACUGAGACACGGCCCAGACUCCUACGGGAGGCAGCAGUGGGGAAUAUUGCACAAUGGGCGAAAGCCUGAUGCAGCGACGCCGCGUGAGGGAUGACGGCCUUCGGGUUGUAAACCUCUUUCAGUAGGGAAGAAGCGAAAGUGACGGUACCUGCAGAAGAAGCACCGGCUAACUACGUG
rnacentral:rRNA from 1 species